rnacentral:lncRNA from 1 species
GCUCGGGGGUCCCCUCCGCGGCUGCGCUCAGCCCGCGGUAGCCGCGCAUCUCAGCGGGACGGCGCAAAACCCGCCGCGUGGCUUUGUAACUCGUCUGCCGCUUCGUGACUGUCCCACCCAGGCCGAAUGGUGCUGCACCGAUAACAGUCUGCCGUGCGCUCAAGGAGGGUCACUCCUCCAGGAAAGCCACAAACCAACCAAGUUACUUUGGGGAACAGAGUACUCAGUGAAAAGAAAUGUCAUUCAUGAAACAAGAAAGUUACUGCAGUAUGAAAGGACCGGGAAUUUCUGA